CUAGCAGUAUCAGAGUUUGAUCCUGGCUCAGGAUGAACGCUAGCGGCAGGCCUAAUACAUGCAAGUCGAACGGUAACAUGAGUAGCAAUACUUGAUGACGAGUGGCGCACGGGUGCGUAACGCGUAUGCAAUCUACCUUUAACAGGUGAAUAGCCCGAAGAAAUUCGGAUUAAUACACCAUAGUAUAUUUGAAUGGCAUCAUUUAAAUAUUAAAACUCCGGUGGUUAAAGAUGAGCAUGCGUGACAUUAGCUAGUUGGUGAGGUAAUGGCUCACCAAGGCAACGAUGUCUAGGGGAUCUGAGAGGAUUAACCCCCACACUGGUACUGAGACACGGACCAG
rnacentral:rRNA from 1 species